ACCAUUUGUUUUAAAAAGGGUGGAUCCUAUUUGUAUAAAAAGCCGUGUGCAUUUUCUGUGUACUUGUCUACACAUUAAUUCUGGAAUGAUGUCCAAUAAAUCAGAGAGAGGGACUAGAAGACUAAUGGGGACAGAAGCUUUUAUUCUUAACGCCUAUAUUUUGCUACCAUUUAUAUUUUCAUCAUAUGCAUAUAACAUUUUAACAUUUAAAAACUAGUUUAAACAGAAAUGGUGGCCCUGGAAUGUGGCCUGUGUUCUUUCAAGGGAGGCCAGCAGUUUCUACAGUGGCUGAGAUGGUACCUUCAUCUCACACACCUACGCAGGAGUGCAUUUGUGCUUUGAUGUGGUUGUCCCUUGAAGAAGGAAGCAGUUCUCAUUAUAGGAUCAGUCACUUCUUGGGGCAUUAGUAGUCUCAUUUCCAGCGGCAUCUUCCCUUGGCAAAAGGAAUCCCAGAUGGGACCUCAUCUUUCUAAACAAAUGCUGUUUUGGGUCCUAACCAUCAGAUGUUUGGUUCAAAUAUGUUUAAGUUGCCUGGAAUUAUCAACAAAAGAAUUAAAUUUAUUGUAGGUCAGGGCAUCUUUUGACUCAUUGUAUAAAACAUUCACUUUAAAUGUAUACCGAAAUGUCCUUUAGUAAUUUUCUUUAAAGACUGCCACUGGGUGGAACCCAUUGGGCCCAGUGAGAACUACGGAAAAGAGACCCAUUCUUGCCCUCAUUGUUAGUGUCCACAUCCGGAUUUACCUAAACCCCACCCAGGUGGCAUUUGCAUAGUAAUGAAAAACCGGUAUUUUCUAGCUGUGAAUCACACUUAAAAUCCUGAGCGGCUGACAGGGGUGCGUCAGGCCUCCUUGCUGGGAGAAUGGACGAGCUGGUUGUGGAGCGCGCGGGUCCCGCCACCCGUGGGCUCAGCACUCGACUGCUCCCAGAACAUUAAAGGUCUGGCUGAUGUUCCAUGCCACAUCUGGACAUGAAGACCCAUGUCUGCCCUUCCGUAGAAGGGCCAAAGAAGAAAGGAGGCAUCACGUGUUUCUGCUGUGGGGGGCCCUUCCGAGCAGCAGACAGGAGCAAGGUACAGGAGUGGCCUGAUUCUGGGGGUUCCCUGCCCCACCUGGGGUCCCUAAACUGCUGUGUGAUAUGUUUCUAACUAUCUGGACAGCUCACCCAAGAGUCAGUUGUUCCCAGUCGCUUCUUGCUGAGGAUAAGCCAAAAGAGGGCCGGGGGCCAAUCUGGUUUCUUUCAAGUGAAAUUAUGCUUCUCAAGCAGAGAAUGAUUGCCCACAGCAGUUAAACCUUGUUUAAUGGUAAUUAAAUUGCUUUUCUUCACUUUGAAAAAUCUCUUAAUUUUCUGUACAAAGGCAGGAAGCAUUUUUCUUUGAUUCUACAGGAUGUUUCUAAGUAUGGUGUAAUCAGUUCAUCUUACCUUGCCGGACUCUGAAAGAAUGAGUGUGUGGGAUCAGAUUUAGAAAUGCCUCAAAGGUUAGAAAGCCGAGUGCUGCCGAUUAACUCAAGCUCAGAUGACC
rnacentral:lncRNA from 1 species